AAUAUCUGCUAGGGGAGCUUUGCUGAGAAGAGGUUCUUAAGUAUUUAGAUGCGUAUGGAUCUCGACCCUUAUUACUUGAACCGGGUAAUACCGGCGUAAGGAAGCGUUUUUUCUAAUAU
rfam:Butyrivibrio fibrisolvens DSM 3071 genome assembly, contig: EJ22DRAFT_scaffold00021.21